rnacentral:rRNA from 1 species
GAUGAACGCUGGCGGCGUGCCUAAUACAUGCAAGUCGAACGCAUUGUGGUUGAAAUGAUAUGAGGAACUUGUUCAGAUUUGAUUUUCAACAUUGCAAUGAGUGGCGAACGGGUGAGUAACACGUGGGAAACCUACCUCUUAGCAGGGGAUAACAUUUGGAAACAAAUGCUAAUACCGUAUAAUAAUUAAAACCGCAUGGUUUUAGUUUAAAAGAUGGUCUUGCUAUCACUAAGAGAUGGUCCCGCGGUGUAUUAGUUAGUUGGUGAGGUGAUGGCUCACCAAGACAAUGAUACAUAGCCGAGUUGAGAGACUGACCGGCCACAAUGGGACUGAGACACGGCCCAUACUCCUACGGGAGCAGCAGUAGGGAAUCUUCCACAAUGGACGAAAGUCUGAUGGAGCAACGCCGCGUGUGUGAUGAAGGGUUUCGGCUCGUAAACACUGUUGUAAGAGAAGAAUGACAUUGAGAGUAACUGUUCAA